CUGUAACUGAUUUAUACAAAUAAACUAAUCCAAUAAUUGAAUGAAUAAUAUUUAUUAGGGGAAUAAUGUACUAACUUACAUUUAAAGUGUAUG